UACAGAGGUCCCAAGCGUUGUUCGGAUUCACUGGGCGUAAAGGGUGCGUAGGUGGCUUGGUAAGUUUGAUGUGAAAUCUCUGGGCUCAACCCAGAAACUGCAUUGGAUACUAUCUGGCUAGAGGAGUGGAGGGGGGACUGGAAUACUUGGUGUAGCAGUGAAAUGCGUAGAUAUCAAGUGGAACACCAGUGGCGAAGGCGAGUCCCUGGACACUUCCUGACACUGAGGCACGAAAGCUAGGGGAGCAAACAGG
rnacentral:rRNA from 1 species